AUUGAACGCUGGCGGCAGGCCUAACACAUGCAAGUCGAGCGGAUGAAGGGAGCUUGCUCCCGCAUUCAGCGGCGGACGGGUGGGUAAUGCCUAGGAAUCUGCCUGGUAGUGGGGGAUAACGUCCGGAAACGGGCGCUAAUACCGCAUACGUCCUGAGGGAGACAGUGGGGGAUCUUCGGACCUCACGCUUUCAUAUGAGCCUAGGUCGGAUUAGCUAGUUGGUGGGGUAACGGCAUACCAAGGCGCCGAACCGAAACUGGUCUGAGAGGGUGAUCAGUCACACUGGAACUGAGACACGGUCCAGACUCCGACGGGAAGCAGCAGUGGGGAAUAUUGGGCAAUGGGGGAAAGCCGGAUACAGCAAUGCCGGGGGAGGGAUGAAGGUCUUCGGAUGGUAAAGCGCUGUAAGUUGGAAGGAAGGAAAGUAAGUUUAUACGUUACUGUAUUGACGGUACCAACAGAAUAAGCACCGGCUAACUUCGUG
rnacentral:rRNA from 1 species